UGGAAAUAAAUAUCGUUAAAGUCAUCGGUUAAUCAAUGAAUGGUAAUUUGAAAAGAAAAUGGAAAACCAUGAACUGGGCUUUAGUCUGAUGUGCGCCUCAAACGCCUAAAAAACUCGUGAAUAUAUUUUUUGUCUGAUUUUUUGAAGUCAGGUAUUAAUCACUGUUGGCUAUGGCAGUUUAUUUUACUAGCCUGCAACCUUAUGCCAAAUGUUGAACAGCACUGCUGUUACAAUCUUUGGCUUCUACUUUGGCACGUGGUGCGGGCAACCAAGGACAGCACGUGGCCCAUGCGCGUUGUGCUGUAACGUACAUGUACAUGUACUUCAUCAGGGGUACUGUUGAUUUGUCCGGUUUCGUAAAUGGAAAAUCGUCUGAGGCUCUGGCGGCAUGGAAACUUACGUUCGUCAUUUGAAAGACAGAUGUUGCCGACCUUUUUUCCGAGGCAAAGAAGGAUUUUUUUUUCUGAUCUGGCUCCGAUGUCACUAUAUCUUCAGCGUCCACAGAUCAUCACUGCAGGAAGCCUGCUGGAAAAUCACGGAUGUCUACAUGUACAUGGUGUUGGUGUGCAAAAUUAAAGUAAUUUUCUCAAGAAACAUUGACGACUGGAGUUGGAAGUGACAAGUUUGCUUUGAGGAUGCAGGAGAUAGUCAAAUAGAUGAGAUGAAAUGGAUGCAGUUCAACAGGAUGAUUGACAGGACUAAGAGACUCGUUGAGUGCCAGAUAGUUUGUCAUUAAGAUGAAGCUCAUGUGCUGCAUGUAGGUUCCUGUUCUGCUAGCUCCUGCCCAGGUUUGAUUUAUGCAUCUCUACCCAUCCCUUUCUUCUGUCCCCUUCUCCAUCAGGUAAGACCUUUCUUUUUGAUAUUUCGUUUGGCUACAUGUACAUCUUAUCACGGAAUACCCAUGGUCAAGUUCUAGAUGAGCACUUAAAAUUAUUGAGGUAUAUACCAUAAACAUUAUUUUAUGAGUGAUGGUUACAAAAGUUGUUUAAAUUGCCUUUUGCGGGAGGAUUAUUUUGAGCACUUCACCCUAACAAUCCCAAACCAACCAAAUUCCAGCACCAAGGUUUGUUGGAAUCUGGUAGGAUGAGUACUGCACUGGUAUACUGGCUGUGUUUAUGUGGGAUUAGGCAUACCACAAAUAAAUAGAUGCAGUCCAGAUGCACAGUUUUAUAGGCCUUUUUACACUAUAGCCUCUCAACCCAGGUUGAACCCAACCAGGGCGAACCCAUGACCACCUUGGGUUUAAAAUAUGA